rnacentral:rRNA from 1 species
AAUUUUGGAAAAUGGGGGCAACCCUGAUCCAGCCAUCCCGCGUGUGCGAUGAAGGCAAUAGGGAUGUAAAGCACUUUUGGCAGGGAAAAAAAGGCGCCGGAUAAUACCUGGCGACGCUGACGGUACCUGAAGAAUAAGCACUGGCUAACUACGUGCCAGCAGCCGCGGUAAUACGUAGGGUGCAAGCGUUAAUCAGAAUUACUGGGCGUAAAGCGUGCGCAGGCGGUUCGGAAAGAAAGAUGUGAAAUCCCAGGGCUUAACCUUGGAACUGCAUUUUUAACUGCCGGGCUAGAGUAUGUCAGAGGGGGGUAGAAUUCCACGUGUAGCAGUGAAAUGCGUAGAGAUGUGGAGGAAUACCGAUGGCGAAGGCAGCCCCCUGGGAUAAUACUGACGCUCAUGCACGAAAGCGUGGGGAGCAAACA